rnacentral:tRNA from 1 species
GGUGGCUCAGAGGCAGAGUGCUUGCCUUGCAUGCAUGAGGUCCUGGGUUCGAAUCCUCAGCACCA